UUUAUAGUGAUAUGUUUAUUGAUAUUUUAUGUAAUUUUAGAUGUUUUCGAAUAUUGGUACUAGAUUGUGAGUAUUGGAUUUUUUCAUGAAAAUGACAUUGAAAACUUUGAAACGGUUGGCUAAAAGAAAACAUAUUCUUGGAAACAUUAUUUUUUCAAUACAUUAUCCAACACAUCCAGUUCCUAAUAAAAACAAAUCCAUUGCAUAUUAACCGAUCAUUCUGGGCCGAUACAUGCAAUGGUUUUGAAAGAAUUGUUUCUCUUGCUGUUUGUCCAUUGUCUCCAUUCUGUUGUAGAUAGUGCAGAUUGUCCUACUCAGGCUUGUUUAACUCGAUUGUACAAUUCAAAAGUACUAAGUGCUGAAUAUUAUACAAGACCACUUGGUUCCAGUUCUUCGGGUUUGUCUAAAAAGCCAUCUGGUUCUUCUAGUGGAGGGUGGUUCUGGCGACGACGGUCUUCGUCCAGAUCUAGCAGGUGGUUUGGGAAGAGAGACUUGGAUUACCAUCUCCAUCAUGCAGGUGUGGUUGUCACUAUCGAUCGGUAUGUUGUUGGAAGAAAUCGUUGGCUAAUACAUAAAGGAAGUGACUAUGGCGAUAAAUGGGACACCGUUAUCACAGACGCACAAAAUAUGGACAACAGAACAUGGACUCGAACAAAAUCAAGAGGUGUUGGCGCUUGUAAAAAAUCAGUGAAUGACUUCCUCAGGGCAGCAAGGAUACAUUAUGAUUAUAGGUUGUUAGGCCCAAACUGUCAAACAGCAGCUAACGGAAUGUGGAACAUGAUUGAAAGAUACUGUUAAAAGCUGAAAUAAACAACCAAAAAUAAAUCAGUACUGCAAGAUAACUGUCAGAGUAUUUUAUUUUUAUUGAAUACUCUUGUAUUUUAAAAAACCAUGAAUUGUGAAUUUUACAUUUUUUUCACUUCGUAUAUUUUGGUUCAUGUAUAGUUGGUAUUUUCAACACCAGCAAAACAAAAAGUCAUAUUGGGGCAAAUAUCAUUAAAUGGUUAAUAUAAAGAACAUAAAAUGAAAAUGUAUUGAAUUGAGGGCGAUGGGGCACAAAUGCGAACUUUUACAGUCUGAAUUUGUUAAGGGUGAGUUUUGAAGUAAGGCUAACUGUACGCUUGUUUUUCACAAUUUUAUACUGAAUAUCUAUACCUACAAUAUUUUUUAUUAGAUAUCUCAGUCAAGCGUACAUUUGUUUAUAGUUUUAAUUAACUAGCAAAACUUUUCCUUAUAUGCCCAGUGGAGGACUAUGAUUCAGCAAUUUCAUAAAGUUUAUAAACCCUCGGUUUUAAAUGGUGUUGAGAUUUACAAUACGUAGGUAAAAAGUAAAAUAGCAAACAUACCGAACUUCAAGGAAAAUUCAAAACAGAAAGGCCUUUGUCAAAUGGCAAAAUUGAAAGCUCAAACGCAUCAAACGAAUGGAAAACAACUGUCAUAUUCCCGACUUGGUACAGGCAUUUCCUCAUGUAGAAAGUUGUGGAUAAAGCCUGGUUUUAUAGCUAACUAAACCUCUAUGGUUAUUGGAAUGGUAUCUAACCUUCGACGAAGGUCAAUUAUGUUCAACAUUUACAUCUGGUAAACUUAUUACGAAUUUUAAUUGUUUCUAUUCUCGCCAUGCGUACACUAUGUUCUAUAUAUUAUCAAUAUAAGUAGGUAUAAGGUUUUGUAUGUUAUGGUCAUUGAAUAAACAAGAUUUGUUGCAAA